CUCUAUUUUCGUUAAAUAUACUGAUUCUGCCACGGUAAUCUCCCUUCUGGCGACACAAAGUACUCAGCAAAUUUAUUUCUAAUAAUAUUUGAUGUUAAGCUACCUCUUACCGAAUUUGAACGAGGUAAUUGGCGUAGAUCGGAGUUUAGAUCUUCAGUAGUUGGAUCGUUAGAUAUACUAUUAAUAAUUCCCUCUUCUUUGUGAAUAAAAUUUUACAACAAACAACAAGUCUUUACUAUAUCAACUGCUAAAUCCGUAGAUACAUUUAAUGGUCGAUGUCAAAUUCGCCAUUUAUUUGCCAUUAUUCCAAAUGUACAUUCAACAUACCGUCUUGCUCUUGUCAAACGGUAGUUGAAUGUAAUUUUUAAUUCAUCGAGUUGAUGACCACCAAACGGUCGAAGUACAUGUUCA